GUGUUGCCGUGCCACUCUGAGGAAGCAUCACUCUGCUGAGAGCUCUUCUCCUGAGUGGAGCUCUUUCGUCUUCUGCGAGUUGGAGAGGUCAGGAGGGCUGGAGAUGGCUCUGCACCUGCAGAUUACAGAUUAAAUAAUCAAUAUACACCGCCAACUUACAGUAGAUCUGGUACCCAGGGGGAAGAAGACGGAUAUUUGGCAGAGAAAUCCAACCUCGAUCGCCAUCGUCAAACUCCACCAUGACACAGCCUUCCUUCUGCUCCUCUCCAGGACCACCUGCGCAACAGGUCAAGCAUGUAAAGAUAAUAGAACGAACGAAGAACGAUCGAUCGAUCGAUCGAUCGAUCGAUCUAUCUAUCGAUCUAUCUAUCGAUCUAUCUAUCUAUCAAAUUAAAUUAUAUUUAAUUAUGAUUUGAGUUAAACAUUUUCGAAAAUUGUUAAAAGGAAAAACAUCUCGUUGACAAUGAUCACAAAAUAAAUGAAAACAAGUCAGAUGUGCAUCAAAAAUGA